CUUUCCAGUCUUCGGCGAAGCUUUUGAAAAGAUCUUUUUGGCUUCCAGGAUCAGCUGGGUCUGUGGGAGGUGGCGCAUCCUGCACUUGGCUGGCCAGCACCCCACUUGCCUUUAAGAAAAGAUGAGACAACAUCAUCAUUUUGCACCUGUGUGCAUAUUCCCCAGUUUCCACAUUAUUUUUCCUCUUUGUGCUGCACCCCAAGAAUUUCCUGGAUGGUUUUUACUGCAGUCAGCUCACUGCUUGGAGGCAACAUUGUUGUGCCAAGUGAAAACUGGCCUGUCCGUCUCAUUUUGGAUCCUGGGUGAGAGUUGUACUGCGAGCAAUCAAUUGAUUAGCUAGCUGCAGCAAAAAAAGAAUCGCAAGAUGUCUGGCUAAUGUACAACGUGUAAUAUGAAAAGAAAAGGCAGCCUUCUGAAGUAUUGUGCCUUGUACUGUUUCUGCUACUCUUGACCGAAGGGAUGGAGCAGUGAGUCACCUACCAGACGUUAUUAGAGCUGAGACAACAAGAAACCAGAUGAAACCUCUAAACUGUGUCUGCUUUCCAGACCAUGGAAAUACAGCAUAUUGCAUUUGCUUUGACGUCGGCAAACUGCAAAGCCUGGAUUAUGAUCUAAAGGAGUAUUAGAGCCUGAUCCAACUACUUCAGAGGCCUGCCCUAGAUUUUGGUGAUCAGCGUAUCAGAGCCACACUUAAAGGGAUCAAGAUGCUGCCAGUGCUUAUUGAAGAUACAGUUUUCCUAAAAGCCCAGGUCAGUGUUCUAGUAUUGACACAUCCAGAGCAUGUGAUACAACAGUGCAUGUUAUAGAGUGUAUCUCACCACACUCAAGCUUAGCAAAACUCUGAUGGUUCACAGUGGCUCCAGUAGCCUUUACUUUAUUUAUGCUUCCAUAAUCCAAAUGCUUAGCAGUGUAAAUAUUUCCUCUGCGGGGCUAUACACAGAGAGAUGUAUUUACUUAUAUAAUGUGUGAGGCUAUGCCAUGCAGAAACGCAAAAUUUUGCUGGUGUCUGGGAUGAGGGGGUUACCUGCUGCAGCAACAUGGAGGCCUUAGCAGGUCGUGGUGGCCCUGUCCCCAAGGUCCAUGCCCAGGGCUCUCCAGACCAAGCCUUUCUUUGGAGAGGGCAGCAGCACUUCUGCAGCUUGUACAUACUAGGCUUUUUUAAAUAAUAAAGGAAGAAAACAGCAUGCUAGCCUGGAGGAUUUUAUGUACAAAAAAACCCCAUGGCAUUUCUUUUUCCCCACAUGGUUUGCAAUUUAUCUCAGGACUAGAGAAAUUAUGUUGUCUUGUUUUGUUUGAUAUGAUGAUAGUCAUGUUACCAUGUGUUAUGUGGCCAUUCCACCCAAGCACCUU